UACAGAGGGUGCGAGCGUUAAUCGGAAUUACUGGGCGUAAAGGGCGCGUAGGCGGUUGUAUAAGUUAGAUGUGAAAUCCCCGGGCUUAACCUGGGAAUGGCAUUUAAUACUGUAUGACUAGAGUAGAGUAGAGGGAAGUGGAAUUUCCGGUGUAGCGGUGAAAUGCGUAGAUAUCGGAAAGAACACCAGUGGCGAAGGCGGCUUCCUGGACUCAUACUGACGUUGAGGCGCGAAAGCGUGGGUAGCAAACAGGAUUAGAUACCCUGGUAGUCCAUGCUGUAAACGAUGAAGACUGGAUGUUGGAGGGUUAAACUCUUCAGUAUCGAAGCUAACGCGAUAAGUCUUCCGCCUGGGGAGUACGGCCGCAAGGCUAAAACUCAAAGGAAUUGACGGGGGCCCGCACAAGCGGUGGAGCAUGUGGUUUAAUUCGAUGCAACGCGAAGAACCUUACCUACUCUUGACAUCCUAUGAAUCCCAGAGAGACUUGGGAGUGCCGAAAGGAGCAUAGAGACAGGUGCUGCAUGGCUGUCGUCAGCUCGUGUCGUGAGAUGUUGGGUUAAGUCCCGUAACGAGCGCAACCCUUAUCCUUAGUUGCCAACACGUAAUGGUGGGAACUCUAAGGAGACUGCCGGUGAUAAACCGGAGGAAGGUGGGGAUGAGGUCAAGUCAUCAUGGCCUUUAUGAGUAGGGCCACACACGUGCUACAAUGGGCAGUACAGAGGGAAGCCAACCCGCGAGGGGGAGCAAAACUCAGAAAGCUGUUCGUAGUCCGGAUUGGAGUCUGGAACUCGACUCCAUGAAGUCGGAAUCGCUAGUAAUCGCGGAUCAGAACGCCGCGGUGAAUACGUUCCCGGGCCU
rnacentral:rRNA from 1 species